GGUCAAGCGGUUAAGGCGCAUGGUGGAUGCCUUGGCAUCAAGGGCCGAAGAAGGGCGUGGCAAGACUGCGAAA
rnacentral:rRNA from 1 species